UGGUGGUAGUUGGGGGGAGGCAAAGUGAUGGACAGACAGAGGAAAGCUGAGAAGAGAAGGUGGCUUCUUACUGGUUGGUUGAACUCUUGGAUGUGUGAAGGUAUACUUCUUUACAAACAGGCCAGGACCAGUUUGAGGUUUGUCAAGUCGCUCUGUUCCAGACUGUAACUGCUGUUGAAGGGAUCUUUCUGCAGUGAAGAUCCAGUGCUCAACAUGCAGUCUGUGGUUCCACUGGCUUUGCACUGGCAAACCACCUAAUUUGAGAACUUCAUUCAGGAGAUUUGGCUGAGGCGUUAGACCCUCCCCGACGAAGUUUAAAGGAACCCCACUCCGCCGGCAAAACCUACAAAGAUGUUCUGUAAACUGACGUUUCUGCAAUGACAACAACCUACCUGCCGAUUUCCCUUUCGCUUACGGUUUCCCUGGAUCAUGGUUCUAUCUGGACCCUGGUCCCGUCUCCUGCCAUGGCCUGCUCACACACAACAUUGCUACAAUGCUGUUGAAGCAGCAUUCCAACAAUUUUUCCUCCAGGCUUCUUCUUAAUUGAAACACUUGUUGAACCAUCCAAAUAUUCAGCUCGUUAAGAACAUGCCGGUGAUGACUCCAAGUUUUGACCACUUAUAUUUCCAGAAAUAUUCCCCCCCCCCCAACACACAUAAUUUCAAAAUAAAUGCCCAUGGAACUGGGGGUGGAAACUGUCACAAGCAUCACACACAUUCUUGGUCAUUACCUUACUUGAGUCAUCCUGCGUUGCUUUGGAAUUCAGUUAAAUGCUUACGUUGGUAAGCAAGGAUCGCUAAUUAGCAAUAGCAUUAGUUUAGGUCAUCUCCCGCGGAGACCGCGCAUGAGUGACGUGAUGUCAUUUUUUUUUAAUCAAUGGCACGCAAUCAACUGGUACUGCCUUCAAGAUCCACUGGUGGAUCGCGAUCGACCUAUUGGGCACCCCUGUAUUGACUGUUAAGGCUAACUAACUAUGGUCAAGUAUUUGGUUCUAUUUGUUAUCUGUGUUUAUUUCAGAAACUCCAUCUGUCUAUUCAUCUGUAAACCUGUAUGUCGGAGUGAAUACAGAAUAAGGUGGAACUAUCAGAUGUCUGCGUGUUCUCUGACCGGAACCCUGUAGUGGUCAAUGUCCAACAAUAAAUCAGCAUCUCAGGGGUUGGAUCUCCAACACCUAUCAUUUAAUAAACUCUUUGGGUGAAUGCUAAAUAUUUUAAUUCUGUCUCUUGACUCUCUCACCUAAGCAAUCCUAUCAUUUCAAAAUAAAAGUCUCAUGGAUAGAAUUCUAACUGGGAUGCUUGUGAUGAGGCCUGUAAUUUGAUAACCUCUUUGUGUGAUGCCAAGCGUUUAGAUCAGUGGUCCCCAAACUAAGGCCCGCCUCCACAUUUGGCCCGGCACCCUGAACAAUAUCAGAGGGGCAUUAUGAUUUUUUUUUCAGUCUGGCCACGCAAAUCCUAGACUAGCCCCUGUGAAAUAGAACGGAAUAAUGGAGAAAAGGUUGAUUCAGAAUGCAGGGUAUUUAACCUGCAUUGGUCAAACGAUUAUUUGUUUGUUCAAUGCUAUCAUCUGUCAAGAGGCGGUGGCGGUUAUUAUUAUUAUUAUUAUUUCAUUUUUUUCUGUAAAGAUCCCAGAGAAGAUUAUUUGGUUAUUAUUUAUUUCAUUAAGUGAUAUUAUUUAUUUUCCUGACUUUUUUUUCUGUGAAGAUCCCGGAUUGGUAUUAUUUGGUUAUAUGUGGCUUUCUGGAAAACAA